GGGUUGUAGCUCAGUGGUAGAGCAUCUACUUUGAACGCAAAAGGUCCCAGGUUCAACUCCUGGCAACAUCU